GUGCAUAGGGAGCAGCAGAGCCGAGCUGGGCGACUGAACGAAAUCCGGGCGCCGAGCACGGAGGUUCCAGGGAGCAGGCGCGGUCUAGAGGAGGAAGAUGGGCACCAGGGAGCGAGCAGGGCGCCGGCGCGCGCGCACAGCAGGGAGAAGACGAGCAGAGAGAUGGCCGGCAGCGCUGGGAGGAGGCUGAGCGCCAUUGGGCAUCAGCACCAGGAAAAUCGAGUGUGUGAGCCAAGGGAGAAGCAGGAUCGCGCAACGGACUUCGAACGGCUUGGGGUUGAAGUACACAUCGAUCUCGCGCAACACGAAGUCCUCCUCCAUCGUGUCCUCCGAUGGUGGCGCGGCAUUGGCAUCGGGCUCCGGCUUGGGUACGGCCACUGGUACGGGUCUAGGAGGCUCAGCCUUCGGCCUGGGCAUUGGGGCUGGGCGCGCACGGCCACCAGAGCACGGCGCAGGGAGCUGGGCGCCAGAGCUGGAAGGAGGCAGGGCGCACAGAGGAAAAAGCAGAGGAGGCGCUGGGAAGUG
rnacentral:misc_RNA from 1 species